rnacentral:rRNA from 1 species
UACGUAGGGCGCAAGCGUUAUCCGGAAUUAUUGGGCGUAAAGAGCUCGUAGGCGGUUUGUCGCGUCUGCCCGUGAAAAGUCCGGGGGCUCAACUCCGGAUCUGCGGUGGGUACGGGCAGACUAGAGUGAUGUAGGGGAGACUGGAAUUCCCGGUGUAGCGGUGAAAUGCGCAGAUAUCGGGAGGAACACCAAUGGCGAAGGCAGCUCGCUGGGACGGUACUGACGCUGAGGCGCGAAAGC